rnacentral:lncRNA from 1 species
AUGGAACAAUUCCGUUGCUGCAUCCUGGAACGGUAGUGCGUUGUUGAGUACAUACGCGAACUCGCGAACACAACAGCUCCUUCCGUCAGCCUGCGUCCGCAUCCUCCCAUCUGUUCCCACACAGAGCGGCAUAUAACGAAUCGCUCCAUGCGGAACACUGGUUAUGCGGAUAUCAAAAAUUUCCAUGACACAGGUAUUCUCAUCCGCCACCGCAGAGCCCCGCCAGGAUAACCUGUGACGGUGUGGCCUUUUACGGCGAUUUUAUCAGGGCUCACGUCAAUGCAAUAAACCCAUAAGUGCUCACGUGGUUGAGGUCGACCAUCAUUGUGUUUGUGGUGGCAUGCUUCCGGUCGUUUUCACUCGGCGCCCCCAAGCUAAGCUCUGCCAACCGAGGAAUUCGGCCCAUAACCCGGUAUCCUGCCUCGUUUCGUGGCCCUGCAGGAAAUGCUGCGCCGAUCAAAUAAAUAUCUUCAGAUCGACGUGCGGAAGACGUGAGCCACGCCCAACUCGGACCACCGAUACAACAUAUGGCCGCUCCGCAAGGAUUGCAGCAAGACAUAACCAGGGGCACGCAUUGCCCGAACACGCCUUGUGGAAAGACAUUACUAUCGUUAGCAAGAACCCGUCGGCGUGCUGCGCAAGGUUUUGCAGUCAGGUGCUUUGGGAUAGACAAGGGCACUGCCAGGGCAAGGUCCCAAGUUCCUGACGCUGGCUGGCUGUGGACCCAGAUCGCCAGGUUGCAGCCUGUUAGGAGGGCUUGACUCGGGAAAAGGACGACAGACCUCUUCCCAUGUAAACCAUGCAAUAGAGCUUUGAGCUUAUCCACCUCGGUCCAUCAAACAUGGUCUAGGGC